AUUGAACGCUGGCGGCAGGCCUAACACAUGCAAGUCGAACGAGUGGCGGACGGGUGAGUAAUGUCUGGGAAACUGCCCGAUGGCGGGGGAUAACUACUGGAAACGGUAGCUAAUACCGCAUACCAUCGGAUGUGCCCAGAUGGGAUUAGCUAGUGGGUGGGGUAAAGGCUCACCAAGGCGACGAUCCCUAGCUGGUCUGAGAGGAUGACCAGCCACACUGGGACUGAGACACGGUCCAGACUCCUACGGGAGGCAGCAGUGGGGAAUAUUGGACAAGGGGCGCAAGCCUGAUGCAGCCAUGCCGCGUGUAUGAAGAAGGCCUUCGGGUUGUAAAGUACUUUCAGCGGGGAGGCGGUACUCGCAGAAGAAGCACCGGCUAACUCCGUGCCAGCAGCCGCGGUAAUUC
rnacentral:rRNA from 1 species